GGUUAAGCGACUAAGCGUACACGGUGGAUGCCCUGGCAGUCAGAGGCGAUGAAGGGCGUGCUAAUCUGCGAUAAGCGCCGGUAAGGUGAUAUGAACCGUUAUAACCGGCGAUACCCGAAUGGGGAAACCCAGUGUGAUUCGUCACACUAUCAUUAACUGAAUCCAUAGGUUAAUGAGGCGAACCGGGGGAACUGAAACAUCUAAGUACCCCGAGGAAAAGAAAUCAACCGAGAUUCCCCCAGUAGCGGCGAGCGAACGGGGAGGAGCCCAGAGCCUGAAUCAGCAUGUGUGUUAGUGGAAGCGUCUGGAAAGGCGCGCGAUACAGGGUGACAGCCCCGUACACAAAAGCGCAUGUGUUGUGAGCUCGAUGAGUAGGGCGGGACACGUGGUAUCCUGUCUGAAUAUGGGGGGACCAUCCUCCAAGGCUAAAUACUCCUGACUGACCGAUAGUGAACCAGUACCGUGAGGGAAAGGCGAAAAGAACCCCGGCGAGGGGAGUGAAAAAGAACCUGAAACCGUGUACGUACAAGCAGUGGGAGCACAGGUUUACCUGUGUGACUGCGUACCUUUUGUAUAAUGGGUCAGCGACUUAUAUUCUGUAGCAAGGUUAACCGAAUAGGGGAGCCGGAGGGAAACCGAGUCUUAACCGGGCGUUAAGUUGCAGGGUAUAGACCCGAAACCCGGUGAUCUAGCCAUGGGCAGGUUGAAGGUUGGGUAACACUAACUGGAGGACCGAACCGACUAAUGUUGAAAAAUUAGCGGAUGACCUGUGGCUGGGGGUGAAAGGCCAAUCAAACCGGGAGAUAGCUGGUUCUCCCCGAAAGCUAUUUAGGUAGCGCCUCGUGAACUCAUCUCCGGGGGUAGAGCACUGUUUCGGCUAGGGGGCCAUCCCGGCUUACCAACCCGAUGCAAACUGCGAAUACCGGAGAAUGUUAUCACGGGAGACACACGGCGGGUGCUAACGUCCGUCGUGAAGAGGGAAACAACCCAGACCGCCAGCUAAGGUCCCAAAGUCAUGGUUAAGUGGGAAACGAUGUGGGAAGGCCCAGACAGCCAGGAUGUUGGCUUAGAAGCAGCCAUCAUUUAAAGAAAGCGUAAUAGCUCACUGGUCGAGUCGGCCUGCGCGGAAGAUGUAACGGGGCUAAACCAUGCACCGAAGCUGCGGCAGCGAACGUAUCACCCAAGACAACUUUGCGGAGUUGACGAUUGACGGAGCGAAGCGACGUCAAAGCGUUCAUUAAAGUCGAGUUGGCUUAGGGAUACGUUCGUUGGGUAGGGGAGCGUUCUGUAAGCCAGUGAAGGUGUGUCGUGAGGCAUGCUGGAGGUAUCAGAAGUGCGAAUGCUGACAUAAGUAACGAUAAAGCGGGUGAAAAGCCCGCUCGCCGGAAGACCAAGGGUUCCUGUCCAACGUUAAUCGGGGCAGGGUGAGUCGACCCCUAAGGCGAGGCCGAAAGGCGUAGUCGAUGGGAAACGGGUUAAUAUUCCCGUACUUGGUGUUACUGCGAAGGGGGGACGGAGAAGGCUAUGUUGGCCGGGCGACGGUUGUCCCGGUUUAAGCGUGUAGGUGUGUGUUCCAGGUAAAUCCGGUUCACUUUAACACUGAGGCGUGAUGACGAGGCACUACGGUGCUGAAGUAACAAAUGCCCUGCUUCCAGGAAAAGCCUCUAAGCAUCAGGUAACAUCAAAUCGUACCCCAAACCGACACAGGUGGUCAGGUAGAGAAUACCAAGGCGCUUGAGAGAACUCGGGUGAAGGAACUAGGCAAAAUGGUGCCGUAACUUCGGGAGAAGGCACGCUGAUAUGUAGGUGAAGCGGUUUACCCGUGGAGCUGAAAUCAGUCGAAGAUACCAGCUGGCUGCAACUGUUUAUUAAAAACACAGCACUGUGCAAACACGAAAGUGGACGUAUACGGUGUGACGCCUGCCCGGUGCCGGAAGGUUAAUUGAUGGGGUCAGCGCAAGCGAAGCUCCUGAUCGAAGCCCCGGUAAACGGCGGCCGUAACUAUAACGGUCCUAAGGUAGCGAAAUUCCUUGUCGGGUAAGUUCCGACCUGCACGAAUGGCGUAAUGAUGGCCAGGCUGUCUCCACCCGAGACUCAGUGAAAUUGAACUCGCUGUGAAGAUGCAGUGUACCCGCGGCAAGACGGAAAGACCCCGUGAACCUUUACUAUAGCUUGACACUGAACAUUGAGCCUUGAUGUGUAGGAUAGGUGGGAGGCUUUGAAGUGUGGACGCCAGUCUGCAUGGAGCCGACCUUGAAAUACCACCCUUUAAUGUUUGAUGUUCUAACGUGGACCCGUGAUCCGGGUUGCGGACAGUGUCUGGUGGGUAGUUUGACUGGGGCGGUCUCCUCCUAAAGAGUAACGGAGGAGCACGAAGGUUGGCUAAUCCUGGUCGGACAUCAGGAGGUUAGUGCAAUGGCAUAAGCCAGCUUGACUGCGAGCGUGACGGCGCGAGCAGGUGCGAAAGCAGGUCAUAGUGAUCCGGUGGUUCUGAAUGGAAGGGCCAUCGCUCAACGGAUAAAAGGUACUCCGGGGAUAACAGGCUGAUACCGCCCAAGAGUUCAUAUCGACGGCGGUGUUUGGCACCUCGAUGUCGGCUCAUCACAUCCUGGGGCUGAAGUAGGUCCCAAGGGUAUGGCUGUUCGCCAUUUAAAGUGGUACGCGAGCUGGGUUUAGAACGUCGUGAGACAGUUCGGUCCCUAUCUGCCGUGGGCGCUGGAGAACUGAGGGGGGCUGCUCCUAGUACGAGAGGACCGGAGUGGACGCAUCACUGGUGUUCGGGUUGUCAUGCCAAUGGCACUGCCCGGUAGCUAAAUGCGGAAGAGAUAAGUGCUGAAAGCAUCUAAGCACGAAACUUGCCCCGAGAUGAGUUCUCCCUGAGACUUAGAGUCUCCUGAAGGAACGUUGAAGACGACGACGUUGAUAGGCCGGGUGUGUAAGCGCAGCGAUGCGUUGAGCUAACCGGUACUAAUGAACCGUGAGGCUUAACCUU
rnacentral:rRNA from 1 species